GAAUUCUAGCAAAUCUCAAAAUAGGAAUAAAAAGGAAUUGUAGUCUUAAAUUCGACUAUAUGAAUAAGUAAUUACUAGUAAUCGUAAUAACCAUGUCACGGUAAUAUUUAUCGGAUUGGUACUAACCAUCGUGAUGCUGAAAGGAGUUAUACAAUAAGUUUGCUCUUUUAUAGUAAAAAAAUAAAAUAAUUAGAUUUUGUAUAUAUUAUUAUAAAAUUCUUCGCAUGUAUAGCUCUAAUUAGUGUUAAGUGCAAAUACGGUUGCGCUAGUGGAAGUUCGCGGGAAUAAUUG
rnacentral:rRNA from 1 species